UAAAGGAGGUGGAUUUGUAACCGAAAGACUCAGGUGAAAUGUGCAAAUAUCACUGAACUGGAGGAGCUCUCUUGGAAAACCAGUAUUACCCUUGCCCUUGAGCUAAUUAGAAGAAAGCCGAUCAUCUGCUAAUGAGCAAUACAUCUUUCAUUAUGGACUUACAUUUCUACUCGAAGAAAACAAUUUCGGUUUUUAAAACAGUACUUAGCCCUGUUGUUUCCCUCACACCUGGUUUUUGCUUCUUGAUGGAGUUUCCUUUUCUGCCCAUGAGACCUGACUCCCCGAGAAAGGAUGUUGGCAAAUGGUUUUAGCCACAUACCCAUAUCUCCCAGUAAAGAUGUCCAUCACGUAUCAUGGAGUGUAUGUUAUUACAUUAUCAGUGUGCCAUACGCUGAACUGCCUAUUUUAAGUUAAAUAGAACGUUUAAAAUUUUGUCCUGUUUUAGUAUCGUUAAAGUAUAUAUUCUUUUCCUAAUAUUACCUCAAAUCUGCAAGGUUUUUUUUUGUUUUUACUUUAAAACAAGUAAAAUCUGGUUAUUAAGUCUGCCUCAGUGAUUAAACCUUGCAUUUGUGCUCUCAUUUUCACAGAAGAGACAGUCUUUUGUUAUGAAUAAAAUCAGAAGCUUAAUAUUAAUUGUUAGGAACAUAGCUCUGCUCAGUAUACAAAUUACUGAAGCCAUCUGAAUGGUUCUUUCUUCUGAGAAGAUCCUGCCAUCACCUUGUCUUUCAUGUUGCACACAACUGAAAAUAUAAAUGAAAAGCCCACAAAGUUAGAAAUUAAUCAAUGUGUAUACAGUUAUAAAAGUCCAUGUUUCUUUGAGUUCUAACAGUGUUUAAAAGAAACAAGUCUACCUUAAAAUAUGUGGCUUUUGCAGUAUUUGCUAGGAGGCAUCUUUUGUAGAGUUGACAACGCUAUUGAGAAGAUGAGAAGCUACAUUCAAAGCACAGGUCAGGGGAAGUGUUCACUGGGGAAGAGAGUAGCGACUAGAACCAAAUGGAGGAACACAGGGGAUGGCCUCUGCCAGGUUAUAAGAUAACAUAUGGUCAUUGUUGACAUGAGGCCUUCAGUUCAAAGACCAACAGGGGAUCAGAAGCAAGGUAGCCAGAAGGGAGGAGAAUUCUUUGAGCACCUGGUAUGUGUAAGAGGCAGCCCAUUAUUUUUUCAUCUAACUUUUACACCACCUGGGAUUGGUAUACUGUCAUUUUUAAACUGGGACUCAAAGCACAUUUUCUAACCUCAAAAUUCUUGCCAGUACAUACAAAAUCUUUGCCAAGUAGUAAUUAUGUUCGUCUUAUAUUACAUAAUAGUAUUUAUUAUAUAAUAUUCUCAGAUUGGAUGCAGAAGUUCAGUUUUGUGUGUGUGUGUUUUGUUUUUUAAUUCUUCCCCAUGUCAACUCUGCCCCACAGAGGAAUCCACUAUAAGGAACUGUGUCCAUCUGCUGCCUGCACUCCCCUGGGACUCUUCACCAUGCCUGCCUUCUAUGCUACAGCCAAGCUGCAGGUUUAAGUUUCUAAAUGUAACUCACUUGCCUUCAGGCUUUUGUAUAUGGAGUUCUUUUUGCCUGAAAUAUCUUCUGACACCUUACCAUUAAGCUUGGAAGUCAGUUACAGAAAGCUUUUUCUAGACUCUCCCAUGCCCCUCCCCACCAAUGUACAGGGAUGGGUCCCCUGCUAGGUGCUCCCACUGCACCUUCUACAUCUUCCCUAAGGAUUACCACUAUAUUGUAAUUCCUUAAUUUUUUUUCCCUACUCCCAGUUACAUUUACAAGCAUCUAGAGAUUUUUUCUGUCUAGUGAAUUAUUAUAUACCCAUGCCUGGUGUGUUAAAAGGUUUAAUAUUUUUCCAUGGAAUGCUGAGUGAAUAAUCGGAUUGUGACUAAAAAGGGAAAAUAAAAUUUAGAAGAGGGGUGGGGGCUGCUUCAUCUGCUAUUCUUUACCUGAAGGUUCUCCUUCCUAGGAUAAAACUUCAAAGGUUUUAUUUAGAUUGGUGAUUAUUUUUUACGCUGUCAUCUUCAUUCACUGGUAGACUGUUGUUUCCCUUUUACUCAAUAUUCUAUGAAGAGUACUCAGAAUUAAGAAGCAAGUGCUAGCUUAAGUUGAGAUUUUUUUUAUCUAUUUUUUUUUUUAAGGUUUAUUGAAAUAGGAACAUGCUGCUGUGGACAAUUAUUGUGUGCAACCAAAUUUCAAUUUUAACUGUGUCUGGUUGCCAAGAACUCAGUUAAAUUAGAAUCAAUGACCUGUAAAUUACUGGUUAAAUAUUUGGUUGCCUAUUCUGUAAACCAUUUAAUCACCUCUUUUCAAAGGAGGUCACCAGUGGUGGUAUUUCUAAAUCAGGAUAUAUCUUGUUUAUAACAGUUACUAUUUAAAUGCAUAUAGUUUGUUAAGAGUGUGUUAAUUUUGUGUGGUGUUUAUUAUCUAUUACUACACAACAAAUUACACCAGUUUAGCACUUUGAAAGGACAUCCUUUGUUAUUUCACCCUUUCUGAGGUUCAAGAAUCAAGGAGUGCCUAAGCUGGUAUUUCUGGCUCAGAUUCUCUCAUGAGGUUCUCGCCAGACUGUCAGUGGGGUUGCAGUCAUCUCACAGCUCAGCUGAGCCUGGAGAAUUGGCUUCCCAGUUCAUUCAUAUGGCAAACAGAAAAACCUCUUUCCCUCACAGGUGGUGGGUGGGACACUUCAGUUCCUGAUCACAUGGGCUUCUCUGUAGGACUGCUCAGGACACACCAGGCUGACCUUUUCCUGUGUGAAAGACCUAAAGGAGGAAGGAAAGAGCUUAAGACAUAGGCUGGUACAAUGUUGGGGGUGGGGGCAACUACAGCAGAUGUGAAUACUAAUAAGCAGGGUCCAUUGGGAACCAUUUUGUUGGUAAUAUAUGCAUCAAAAUCCUCAUUUUCAUUGUGAAGAUUCAGUUGUUAUUAUAAUGUGCUGAAAUCUUGCAAGAAGAACCCAAAUCUUAAAUAAUUGCUUAUUUCUGAUUAAUUUGUGUACUGUUCUGAUGUAUAAUAAAGACAUUGGACAGAAUGACCUUUGAUAUCCCUUUCAGUACUGAAAUUUUGAGAAUGACUAUAAGGCUAAUAUAUGUUUGAAACAAAUUUAUAUUCUUGCGGAAUACCAUGAAGUCAAGCUCUGUCUUUAUACUUUUUUUUCUGACACAGAUUACUAUUUCUCUCAUAAGCUUAAUGGGUAAUUCCUGAGUUGUACUCAUCUGGAAUAAAAGAAUGUUGUCAAGGGUUCCAUUUGAUGAGGUUAAUUGUUUCCUACAGUGUUCUGAAGGCAAAAAUGCUUAUUUAAAAGCCCUCUUAGAUUUCACACUGAAGAACACUACCUCUUCAUAAUUUGGUACUGUUUUUGGACUCCCAUAAUUCAGGGUAUUCUUUUGAUUUAAACAUUCAUUUAAGAGGAGGUUGAAACAGAUUGUAUCUCCUACCACUCUUAUUUGAAACCUCUUAAACAGCUUCCCAUGGCUCAUGGAAUUAAACCCAAAUUCCUCAAUAUAUUGCAAAGAUUUUUCUGAGCUUGCAUCUACUUAUCUCCAUAAGAGUCAAAGCUGGUCAAUUAUUUUUUUUUUCAGCAUAAACUACAGCCAUGUUGAUUUCUAUUUCUGGCACAGGUCAGAUUCUCUCUCACUUCUAGAUUUUUAUGCAUGUUAUUCCCUCUCUAGGAUACUCAGUAGUCUCUUCACCAGUCCUUCCCCCACCCACCAUUCCCAGCACAACCAAAUUUCUAAUAAUCCUUCAAAUUUUCAAGUUUUACAUCAAUUUCAGAUCCCUCUGAUUCUCUUCAACCCCCACACCCUUGCCAAGUCGGGGAUCCCUGAUUCAUACUCUCAGAACAUCCUGUAAGUUCUCUCAGAGUAGGUCCCCUCUGUCAGAACAAGUUUUUUAAGGACAAGAACCAUGUUCUCAGUAUUGUGUGCCUGGGAUGCUCACAGUGCUUGCCCUGAAGACAUACGCUAUAACUUGAGUAAGUGUGUGAAAGUAUAGUUCAUGCAUUCACUGGUUUAAGCCUAGAGAAGUUUAGAAUCAUCCUUCAAUAACUAUAAGUUAAUAUAUCUUAAAAGGUACUAAUACAUAAUUUCUUGCUGAGUAUUUUACAGAUAGGUGGUUUUGCCAUGAUUUCGGAGUUGGGAAAGAAGGGUAUGCUAUUCUAUAUCUUCUCUGACCAAAAUGAGUACUAUAAUUCCUACAUAAUAAACUGAUAAUUGUCUGAAACAAACUGCUCAAUGAUGAAAAUAUGUAUUGCCCAGACCUUCACAAUCCUUAAUGUAAACCUGGUAAUUACAAAAUAUUCUAGCCUCUUAUUUAAUAUGAUCUCUUAGAGCAUAACUUCAAAAAAACUGGUAAAAUAGAAACUACAUCAAUAAAGGAGCCAGAGAACCCAUUUUUCCAUAUGUAAAAUGAAAGAUUUGACUAGACUCUAAUUUCCCUUUACAGAUUCACUGAAGAAGGACUCAGGUUCUCAGCAGAAUGACUAAAUGACCAGAGUGUCUUCAGAACUGAAAUUUGUCAAGAUUUUCAUGUGAUACAGUAUAUUUUCAAAUGGAACAUCCUGUAUUGACAAAUUAUAUGUCCCAUACAAUAAUAGCAGUUGAGAUUCCAGCAUCAGCUGCUCUGUUGAAAACAACUGAAAAUACCAGAGAUUGUUCAUGUUGGAAAGCCUACUUUCUAAACUCUUCUCAAGUGACGAUAAAAUGGACUAGUUGAUAAAUCUCCCUGUGUACAGAUUUUCAAAACUCCUAUUGAUCCGUGGUGCUUUCAUGUUAAAGAAAGAAUUGAAACAUCAGCUAUAAAACAAGGUAACUUCAGCAGCAGGGCUGAGGAGGCCAUCCAGCCGCUGGGUAGUUUUGAUAUCAAAAGGAUUUCAAAACCUUCCCUCUGUGGAGGAUGAGUUAAACACCCACACUGGGGCAUCAACAUGAAGGUGGCAAACAGCAUGGAAUUGAUGGAACUCUGCAGGUCCUACGGGUCACUCUGGCUAAAAUAUAGCUUAGUUAUUCUCACAGAAGUGCUGUCACAAAGCUCCAGGGCCUGACCCAUGGUCAGAAUAAGGACAUUUUCUUGUCUCUCCAGAGCCAGAUGAGAGAGUAUAUCGGAAGUAUGUAGAUCUCACAGCUUUCUUCCGCUAUGGAUAUUUUUAAUACUGUUAUGGGAAUAAAUUACUCCAAGGCAACCAAGACCAAUAUUUGGCUUUGAUAACUGAGACUGUGCAGUUAGAUCCCAUAAACCUCUACUUCAAUCAAUAGAGAUCAAAAUAUUUGUGUAAAUUAUCUACAUAAGUUCAGUUAAAACCCUUCAGA